CCUACGGGAGGCAGCAGUGGGGAAUUUUGCGCAAUGCUCGUAAGAGUGACGCAGCGACGCCGCGUGAAUGACGAAGGCCUUCGGGUCGUAAAGUUCUUUCGACAGGGAAGAAAAUGCCUAUAAGUAACUGUGUAUGUAUUGACGGUACCUGUAUAAGCAGCCCCGGCUAACUCCGUGCCAGCAGCCGCGGUAAUACGGAGGGGGCGAGCGUUGUUCGGAGGGACUGGGCGUAAAGAGCACGUAGGCGGUGUUGUAAGUCAUUAGUCAAAGACUAGAGCUCAACUUUAGUAAGGCUAGUGAUACUAUAAUACUAGAGUAUGAGAGAGGAUUGCAGAAUUCCUGGUGUAGCGGUGAAAUGCGUAGAUAUCAGGAGGAAUACCGUUAGCGAAGGCGGCAAUCUGGCUGGAAACUGACGCUGAGGUGCGAAAGCGUGGGUAGCAAACAGGAUUAGAUACCCUUGUAGUC
rnacentral:rRNA from 1 species